GCAGCCGCAGCCCCUGGCGCUAACGGUCGGUAACGGCCCGCGCGCGCCGCCCGCCGGGGGCUCGCGCCAGCCACGAGGGAGCGUCCGCGGCCCGCGCGCCCGCGCGGCGGAGGAGAGGUGUUAAGUGUGAUGCUUCCAUAAUACAUUUGGAUGCUGUCAGCUAAGUUCACUUCUGAACUAAGGGGUUCCUCCAAAUGUUGGCUGAAAUUCAUCCCAAGGCUGGUCUGCAAAGUCUGCAAUUCAUAAUGGAGCUACUGUACUGGCUAUUGGAAGGAGGAGAUUCUGAAGAUAAGGAGGUAAUAUUAUCUCUUUUAAAAGAAUACUUUCCUCUGUAAUCCUGAAUCUUUAUUACAUGUAAGAACUUUGUGCAGUAGACAGCAAUUUCUUUGAAUUUGGUAUAUGGAAACAAUUUUAUUUUCCUCUGCUAAGUUUUUGAGCCUGCCUCUUCUAGUGCCAUGGACUGCAUUGGUAGAGCUGAGAAAUAUCAUUUAGCCAUACUCAGCACCCUUAAAAUAGCUUCUUUCUGAGAAUUAGAUCUGUGAAGGUGUCCUGCACAGUUCUUGUAGAUGUCAUUUUAGUUUGUGGUUGACGUGCAUGCAUUUAGCAUGUUGCUUAACCGUCCUCAUUCGCCUCCCAGUUCUUUGUUGCCUUCAUUUGGGGGGAUGUGUUUUCUGCUGGAUGAUUUACUGCUAGACAUGACCAAACUCUGAGUAUAAGACUUGGUGUUUGGCAGCUGGUUCCAGUGCUCUGCUGAGAAGUAGUUGGGCCCAGCCUGGGGCAUUGUAGUGUCCUGGAGGCCGGGAGCUCCUGCACAGGGGUUCUUUUCCUGGUUCAGAGCCUUAGGUGCCUUUCCACUUUUCACGUAAUCUUUUCCUAGGUUGGCUUGCUGCUUACUUUGCAGCUGUUGCAGGGAUUCACAUGGAAUGGAGGGCUCCCUUUUAUUGUGGAUUAUUUCUUUGAUAAUUUACCCAUGUGCUUUUUCAUUUUCAAAAACCCAGUGGUGUUUAAGAAUGAAAGAUUCUUGAAGAACAAAAAUUGGGUUAAAUUUGUAUCUAUCAGAAAAGAUUCUAUCCUCUGAUGCUAUGUAGGCACAUUGAAUAUGCAGGCUAAAUUAAAAACAGAGUAAAACCUUUUUAUAAUAUGCCAAUUACUAUAUCUAAGAAUGUUUAUACAGGCUGAAAUUUUGUAAUGGUAUUUAUAUCUGUUUUCCUUUUUAAGGAAAAUAAUAUACUUUUCUAGGCAUCAAAAAUAUCUGCCCCUUUCACUAAUGCUGAUGUACCACCUUCCCCCAACCCCCAACGCUAAAUUUGACUGGCUUAAAAACAUCUGCCCCCUGAACUAUAUCUGGGGAGGAAUAUUAAUAAAACAAUGAAGGACUUCAUGGUGUCUAGUUAUAUAAUUAGGAAAUUGGUUAGAAACGUGGCUAAAACCAGUUUCUUUCAUUAAAAGAACUAGUGUACAUUUAAAAACAAAAACCUUCAGGAAAAAGACUCUUUGAUCUUUAAGUCAAAUAGUAUUUUUGGUUAACACAGCAGGAAGGGGAAAUAUACCAAUUUCAGAUUCUUUUAUUUAUGCCUAAGUAGAGGUUGUAAGCAGCUAAGGAAGUGAUUAAAAUGUAGUCUAGUAAAAAAUGGUGCUGAUUACUUGGAAAGCAGUUUACAUUUGCAAAAAAAUUCAGUAUUAUGACCUUCACCAACUUUUACACAUCAUAUACUUGGGUUAUUACUUAUGGUAUAGCUUGUGUAUGGAAUGCAAGGGUAUUUUCAAAUUGACUAGGUCUUGCUGGUCAUCUUAAAAUAUGUUACAAUAUUACAAAAUUGAAAUGUAAUAUUUUUUAAUAGAAGGAAAAUAUAAAUUUAAUAUCUGGGCAAUUGAGACCUUUAAACUUACUUUAAAAGUAUGAUCUUGAUGUAUAUGAUACUGUUUUGUCUUUGCUAUAUUAACAGAAUUAGAGGGGUGUUCUGCAAUUCAAAUACCUUAUAUAUUCCAAAUUUUAUUCUCUAUAAUGGACUUUUAAAAUAAAAGGUAUAUGUGCUUCAAGAGGGCAAAAUUUGAAUCAUGAGCUAAUUUGCUAAGCAUCAGAUUAUAGAAAAGCAUCCUUGAUUAAUUUGGAACUGUGAAAGGGGGCGGGUAAAACUGUUUUCUGCAGAAAUUUACUAGUGCAGCAACCAUUUAAAUUAAAUGUUUGUUAACAUAAUAGUGAUGGCAUUUUCUCCUCCCCCUCCUUGUGGUUUUGUCCAACUAGAUGUUACAGUGGCAGUUGCACUGACUGUUAAGUGUUUAAAUGAUGACACCAUUAUGUGAAGUGAUUUUGAAAUGAGAGAUUCCAGCCAAGAAUUACAUCUGCUCCCAUCUCCUUCAAAUCAUACUCUCUGGCAGUACAGAUUAUGAUUGAUUUGUUUGUGACAGAUUGCAGGAAACAGUCAUUGAUUUUUCAAUAUUUUACCUUAAAAUUAUUUACAGUUGUAACCAUGGGGAGGUAUUUUCAUGGGCUGUCAGCCCCUGAAAGACUAGGAUAAUAUUCCCUGCUCUCUGACAAGACAAAUUACCUGUAAUGAGUGCAGUAGCUGAAGGGUAUACUUUUAUUUUAAAAUAUGUCAAUAACCCCAGUGACUAAACGAAUAUUGAUUUAGCAUAAUGAAGCCUGAGUAACGUGAAAAUGAGCUUUUUCAAGGGGCAUGGUAAAGUCUUUCUUUUUAGCUGGUUGUAAGAAGCUUUUGAUUCUUUUCAGCCAGCUGGUAGGAAUAUAGAAUUUUAUAAGCAAACCAUCAGGAAUGAUAGUGUUGUUUCUGAUAAGCAACAUCCAAAUAUUUUGACCCUGCUUUUAGUGGUUUUUUUCAAAUCUUAUUUUGAGUCUUACUUUUAGUCAUAGAAUAGCUACUGAUUUGAUGCGGUCUUUAACUGACUUAAUAUUUUUACAAUUUCAAUAUAUUUUGCAUUGGAAUCUCCAGUAAUGAAUAUUAAAAUAUAUGUACAAUCAUUUGUAGAUGAUAUCAAUUAUAUUAAGACAUUUCAGAUGGGCUAUUGUAGUAUUUAAUGUGCCGUAUUUUAUGGUAGAAUAAUUCUCAGUCUCUGGACAUCAAGAUUGCUUUCAGUGGGAAUGAAGAUUAAUUUACUUCAGUCCUGAUUUUUUAGGCAUCAAUGCAUGUUUUCAUUUUUGUCAGACUUUUACCCUCUUUUAAUGUAAUUCUCAACUUCUUAUGGAUUUACUUCCCAAUACAUAAAAUCCUUCAAAACAAGAAUGAUAAUAAUUUUUAUACUUUUUAUAAAAAUAAAUUUAUUUUUAGUCCAUCAAGGUGUCUGAAGAUUUUAUGCCUAGGUAUCUCCAUAUCUAACUUGAUAAGGAAAAUAGGAUAAACAAUGCUGGUAAUAGCAGGAAAGUAAGUAUUUGAAUAAGAUGUCAAACUGAUAUUUCAUGUGAACCUAACUCAUUUUAUGGUAACUAAUAAUUAUCUUAUUUAAAUCAAUAGGUAAAACCUGUUUAGAAAUUAAAAAUGAGUUACGAUUUAAAGAAAAUUCAGAUGACUCAUUGUGAGUGCUAGUUCUCUUGUAGGAUGCCACUGGAAAUGUUGAAAUGAAAAAUAUUCAGCCGUUGGUCUUUGAAAUUUCCUGUGAUGUGUUUCAAUCUAGAUGCAAAGAACAUGGAAAAAUCAAAGUGCUCGAGUGGUUUAAAUAUGUUUUGGGUAUUCCUGUUUAUAGACUAUAAUACUUUUCCAAUUAAAAUCCUCAGUUGUCACGCAGAAGAAGGUUAAGCUGUAUUUGAUUGCCAGUUUUACUGAAAAUGCUUAGUAUUUUACAGUAUCACCAAAUAUAUUUUGUUUAGCCAAGGUAUAGGAAAAAUAAAAUAAAUUGUAUAGGUUGACUUUUUUCUAAAAUGUCUUUAUUGGAUUGAAUGAAUGUUUAUACCUGAAAAAAAAAGGUUCAAAAAAAUUCCUUUUUCUAUCAGAGUCAUUCUUUUGACAAUCAGAUAUUAGACUAGGUUUAAAAUAACUUUCUAAUAUGACUCAUAUUUAUGGGAGGAAAAAGACUUGAAAGAUAUUCCUAUGUGUACUUUAAUUUUCUGUAAUAGUCCCUCUGGAAUAGAAUAUCUCUUCCUCAAACAAAUCUAUUGGCUCAUUUCAUAUACAAGAAAAAGUUGCCCUAAAUGGCAGAGUUUCAUCUCUGUAAAGAAGGCUGACAUCCACUUCCUUCACAGAAUCCCUGCAUUUGGGUAAUUGAGUAAUGAUAGAUUACCUUGCCAUUGGGAAAUACCUUGUUGUGGCCUUUGUAGCAGCUAUAGGAAGAUGGAAGAAUUCUUUUGUAUAGACAGGUCUCUAGCCUCUUUGGUGUGGACACUGUGAAGGGGUACAUCUGGUGAGAAGGAGUGCUUAGGGAAGGAACUGGGAAGGUCCACAAAGGCUGAUGAUGACAAAGAAUCCAAGGGCUAUGAUGAAUUCUUAAGCUUAGAUCUCAGAGUCAUAAAGUAAAUUUAUUAGGCUAGAGAGAUUUCCUUUUUUAUUUUUGAUCAAACUUUAUUUUUUCAGAUUGUUAAGUUCACAUGCAGUUGUACAAAAUAAUACAGAGAUCUUUGAACACUACCCAGUUUCUCCUAAUAGUAACUUCUUGCAAUAUACUGUAUAGCACAGCAUCACAACCUGGAUACUGACAUUGAUGCAGUCAAGACAGAGAACAUUUAUAUCAUGAGGAGGAUCCCUCAUUACCGCCCUUUGAUAUCCACCCCUACUUCCAGACCAUCUCACUCCUCCCUUAACCCUGGCAACCACUAGCAUGUUCUCCAUUUCUAUAAAUUUGCCUUUAUAGGAAUGUUAUAUAAUUGCAAUUAAAGUGUGUAACCUUUUGGGGUUUGACUCACCCGGCAUCAUUUUCUGGAGAUUCAGCUUAUAUGUGUCAAUAGUUUGUUCCCUUUUUUUUAGUUCAGUAGUAUUCUGUGGUACGUGUGUACCACAUCACUCAUCAAUUCGGACUUCUGGGUUGUAUCUGGUAUUUGAUUAUUACAAAUAGAAGUACUAUAUAUAUAUUCGUGUAGAGGUUUCUGUGUGAACAUAAACUUUCAUUUUCCUGGGACAGAUGCCCACGAGUGAAAAUUGUGAGUCAUAUGGUAAUUAUGUAGAGUAUUUUUUUUUUGAGACGAUUUGUUUAUGAUUUUAAAACAUAAAAAUAUAAGUUGUAGCCAAAUAUAAGGAAGGAUUUUUCCACAAUCUAGACUUUAUUCUUAUUUUAGAGAAAUACUUUUGAAAAAAUUGCUUUAUUGGCAAACAAUUCCUAUGUAAAGGAAUAAAAGACGCAUAUACUCUAGGAAAGAUGUUGCAAAGCUGACAGGCAACUUUGAGAAAGAUGAGGGCAGUUUUCCAGUGUUACUGGAGACUUGACAUUCAAGGAUGUAUUAUGAUAGUUUCUGAAUUGAUAGAUUCUUUAGCGUUUGUCACUACCCUCAGGCCUGCAGUUUUUAUUUGUAGAAUUAACUCAUCUUUACAAUGCUUUGUUGAGUGCUGUUGCAGAAAAUGCUCAUGUAAUUCAAUUAUAUGCAGUUAGGAAAAAGAAGUAUCUUUUUCUAGUACAUGGCCCCUAAAAUGAUGACUUUCCACAAUGCUGAAUGGAGGAAACAGCUCUGUUUCCAUCAAACUCUGGUGGAAAUUAUACAAAGUUAUAUUAUGCUUUAUGAGACAUAGUGAGGUAGUACACAACCAUAUAUGCUAUAUUAUUGGGGAGACCCACUGAAAGAAUUUUCAAGGAUAAUUUUUGCUCUGAUUUUCUAUCAUGUAUAUUGACUUUAUUGAUUGAUUGAUUGAGAUGGAGUCUCACCCCGUCACCCAGGCUGAAGUGCAGUGGUGCAAUCUCUGCUCACUGCAACCUCCGCCUCUCAGGUUCAAGUGAUCCUCGUGCCUCAGCCUCCCGAGUAGCUGAGACUAUAGGUGUGUGCUACGAUGCCCAGCUAAUUUUUGUAUUUUUAGUAGAGACAGGAUUUGGUAGCCUGGUCUCGAACUCCUGACCUCAGGUGAUCUACCCACCUUGGCCUCCCAAAAUACUGGGAUUACAGGUGUGAGCCACCGUGCUGGCCAAGUAUAUUGACUUUAAAACGUUACCGGCUGGGCGUGGUGGUUCACGCCUGUUAUCCCAGCACUUUGGGAGCCCGAGGCGGAUGGAUUACCUGAAGUCAGGAGUUCGAGACCAGCCCAACCUGGUGAAACCCCGUCUCUACUAAAAAUACACAAAUUAGCCGGGCGUGGUGGCAGGCGCCUAUAAUCCCAACUACUGGGAAGGCUGAGGCAGGAGAAUUGCUUGAACCUGGCAGGCGGAGGCUGCAGUGAGCCAAGACUGCGCCACUGCACUCCAGCCUGGGCAACAAGAGCAAAACUCAGUCUCAAAAAAAACAGAAAAAAAAAGUUACCACGGGUGAAACAUUGGGCUGGUCACAGUGAUCCUUCUAACAGCAGUCAAUAUUAUAAAUCUAGCUUUUUUUUUUGAGUGAGAUACUAGGCCCAGGGAACCCGAGUCUUUCAAUCCUCAUGAAUAUAGUUUAAUCUUUAGCUCAUUAUGGUCAUGACCAUAGUUAAAUAAAUGACACGAGAUAAUAAAAUAGUCUUUGCCCUUAAAACUGACCUGGGU
rnacentral:lncRNA from 1 species